rnacentral:rRNA from 1 species
CAUCAUGCCCCUUAUGAUUUGGGCUACACACGUGCUACAAUGGACAAUACAAAGGGCAGCGAAACCGCGAGGUCAAGCAAAUCCCAUAAAGUUGUUCUCAGUUCGGAUUGUAGUCUGCAACUCGACUACAUGAAGCUGGAAUCGCUAGUAAUCGUAGAUCAGCAUGCUACGGUGAAUACGUUCCCGGGUCUUGUACACACCGCCCGUCACACCACGAGAGUUUGUAACACCCGAAGCCGGUGGAGUAACCUUUUAGGAGCUAGCCGUCGAAGGUGGGACAAAUGAUUGGGGUGAAGUCGUAACAAGGUAGCCGUAUCGGAAGGUGCGGCUGGAUCACCUCCUUUCU